AGUGGCGGACGGGUGAGUAACGCGUGAGAAUCUGCCUUGGGGUCGGGGACAACCACUGGAAACGGUGGCUAAUACCGGAUACGCCUUCGGGUAAAAGAUUUAUUGCCCUAAGAGGAGCUCGCGUCUGAUUAGCUAGUUGGUGAGGUAAGAGCUCACCAAGGCAGCGAUCAGUAGCUGGUCUGAGAGGACGAUCAGCCACACUGGGACUGAGACACGGCCCAGACUCCUACGGGAGGCAGCAGUGGGGAAUUUUCCGCAAUGGGCGAAAGCCUGACGGAGCAAGACCGCGUGAGGGAGGAAGGCUCUUGGGUUGUAAACCUCUUUUCUCAGGGAAGAAGCUCUGACGGUACCUGAGGAAUCAGCCUCGGCUAACUCCGUGCCAGCAGCCGCGGUAAUACGGAGGAGGCAAGCGUUAUCCGGAAUUAUUGGGCGUAAAGCGUCCGCAGGUGGCGAUUCAAGUCUGCUGUCAAAGCACGGGGCUUAACUCCGUAAAGGCAGUGGAAACUGAAUAGCUAGAGUGCCGUAGGGCUAGAGGGAAUUCCCGGUGUAGCGGUGAAAUGCGUAGAGAUCGGGAAGAACAUCGGUGGCGAAAGCGCUCUACUGGACGGCAACUGACACUCAGGGACGAAAGCUAGGGGAGCGAAUGGGAUUAGAUACCCC
rnacentral:rRNA from 1 species